rnacentral:rRNA from 1 species
UUUGUCUACUAAUUAUAGACCAGCAUGAAAGGCAAAAUGAGGGUUUGACUGUCUCUUAUAAUUAAUCAAUUAAACUGAUCUCCCAGUAAAAAAGCUGGAAUUACUUCAUAAGACCAGAAGACCCUGUGAAGCUUAAACUACACUAUUAAACCACAUAAUAGCCACUUUCGGUUGGGGCGACCUUGGAAAAAAAAAGAACUUCCAAACCAUGAUCAUAUCACCAAUAGGCCAACAAGCCACCAACGACCCAGCAUAGCUGAUCAUUGAACCAAGUUACUCCAGGGAUAACAGCGCAAUCCUCUUCAAGAGCCCAUAUCAAAAAGAGGGUUUACGACCUCGAUGUUGGAUCAGGACAUCCUGACGGUGCAGCCGCUAUCAAGGGUUCGUUUGUUCAACGAUUAAUGUCCHACGUGAUCU